GACGAACGCUGGCGGCGUGCCUAACACAUGCAAGUCGAGCGGGGGGAGUUCUUCGGAACGAACCUAGCGGCGGACGGGUGAGUAACACGUGGGUAACCUGCCUCAAAGUGGGGGAUAGCCUUCCGAAAGGAAGAUUAAUACCGCAUAACCCAUGAUUUCCGCAUGGAAGUCAUGGUAAAGAUUUAUCGCUUUGAGAUGGACCCGCGGCGCAUUAGCUAGUUGGUGAGGUAACGGCUCACCAAGGCCACGAUGCGUAGCCGACCUGAGAGGGUGAUCGGCCACAUUGGAACUGAGAUACGGUCCAGACUCCUACGGGAGGCAGCAGUGGGGAAUAUUGCGCAAUGGGGGAAACCCUGACGCAGCAACGCCGCGUGGGUGAUGAAGGUCUUCGGAUUGUAAAGCCCUGUCUUUUGGGACGAUAAUGACGGUACCAAAGGAGGAAGCCACGGCUAACUACGUGCCAGCAGCCGCGGUAAUACGUAGGUGGCAAGCGUUGUCCGGAUUUACUGGGCGUAAAGGGUGCGUAGGUGGAUAUUUAAGUCAGAUGUGAAAUCCCCGGGCUUAACCUGGGAAGUGCAUUUGAAACUGGAUAUCUUGAGUGCAGGAGAGGUAAGUGGAAUUCCUAGUGUAGCGGUGAAAUGCGUAGAGAUUAGGAAGAACACCAGUGGCGAAGGCGACUUACUGGACUGUAACUGACACUGAGGCACGAAAGCGUGGGUAGCAAACAGGAUUAGAUACCCUGGUAGUCCACGCUGUAAACGAUGAGUACUAGUGUAGGGGUAUCGAUCCCUUCUGUGCC
rnacentral:rRNA from 1 species